rnacentral:rRNA from 1 species
UGGGGAAUAUUGCGCAAUGGGCGAAAGCCUGACGCAGCGACGCCGCGUGAGGGAUGAAGGCCUUCGGGUUGUAAACCUCUUUCAGCAGGGAAGAAGCGCAAGUGACGGUACCUGCAGAAGAAGCACCGGCCAACUCCGUGCCAGCAGCCGCGGUAAGACGGAGGGCGCGAGCGUUGUCCGGAUUUAUUGGGCAGUAAAGGCUCGUAGGCGGCUUGUCGCGUCGUCCGUGAAAACCCGUGGCUCAACUGCGGGCUUGCGGUCGAUACGGGCAGGCUGGAGUUC